CUGACUGGGGAAUGUGCAUUUUCUUCACAGUAACGCGUAAAUACAUGGUUUAUGUGACGUCGACGUAUUAAUAUCAAACUCUAGUUCUUAAAAAAUAAAUAAAUAAAAAACGGACCAAAGACAUUUUAUUACCUCUGUACGACUUGGUUAUAAAGAACAUUGGUACUGGUCCAAGUUUUAAAAAUUAGUUUAUUACCAACUUACAACAUUGCAACAACAUUGUCUUUUUAUUAUUAUUAUUAUUAUUAUUAUUAUUAUUAUCUUAAACCAUAUAGACACACUCAGUUCAUCCCUCAAUAGCACAAAGGCAGUGCUUAAACUGUUCAAUAAUCAUUCAAAUGUACAGCUUUGUUAUUGCUAUUACAGAUCAUGUCCGCUAGGUGGUGCCAUUGGCCUACAUGACAGUGGUGAGUAGAGAAGGACCUUGUGAAGGCCAGUUCAGUUUAACCUGUGUGAGACGUUGCAUAUUAUCAGAGGUGGGUAGAGUAGCCUAAUCCCAUUCUCAAGUACAUGUGUUUAUACUUGUGUUUAUAAAUGUAUAUUGUGGCUUCCUUUUAUUCAUAUGUUUAUCUGCUUUUUGAAAACAAACAGAACAAGGCAAACCUUUUAUUUCAUCCUGUUAUUAAAUGAGUAUUAUUUCAACAAAGGCAACAUCUAAACUAAUAACCCUCCAAUCUAACUCACGCUCUAAGUUGGGUAUAUGCAGUGUGCAACAUAUGAGGAAGAGCCAAAAGAUUAUAUAAAGAACCAUUAUUUAUCAAACACUGAUCUCACCGACCCGCGACCCUGACGGAGAAGCGGCUUAGAAAAUGGAUGGAUGGAUGAUCUCACCGAGACAUGAACAAUUUUUGUCUGCUUUUCUAGAAAAAAGUGCUGCACACAGGGUCAGGUCACUCUGCUAAUCAAAAACUACCAAUAAGCAAACAAACAAAUAAAUAAACCAGUGAACAAAAAACAAAUAAACCAAUAAACAACAAAAAAAGAAUAAAUGAUUUAAAUAAAUAUUGCUGUAAAAAUGUUGUUCAAUCAAUAAAUAGUAAGGGCAUAACUGAUAAAACAGUUAAAAUAAAUAUUAAAAAUAAAAAUAAAUAUUAACAUUUGAAGUUACCCUUUAAGAAGCCUAAAUCAAUAUUAAUUCAAGAAAAUACAAAUAACAGUAAAAGUAUAAUUGCUUUUAAGUUUACCCUUUAAAGGAUAAAAAUAAAAUGUCUUUUCUUCAAAAAUGAACUUACAUGUUUACCAGUUUCAAACACAGAAGCAAACAUGUAAAUAAAUCAGUAUUGUUAGUGCUAAGCCAGCAAUCAGUUAUAGGAGUCACUAUUCAGUCUAAUCAUAAAAAUAACAGUUUACCCUUGUAAGAGUUUAAAUCACAAACAUUCUUGGCCUAAUAAGGGUGCAUGAAUCUAAAUUCUUUGACAACACACUCUAAGCUUCAUUUUGUCUCUUACAAUUUCCAGAAAGAAAUGCAUUCCCUUCAUUUCUGUCAACGAAAAUGAAAAGGUUAUAAGGGCGUCAACUUUAUCAUCUUCACUGGCGAUCUAAGGCAGACUCAUCAGUGUCAUCCCAUACUCUACACGCAACAAACUCACGCAUUAUCUGUAAGAAAUCUUCAGGUUGGUAGGGCAGCUGGUAUCUUAUCAGAGCUGGUUUAUGAGAAACCUGGUCCAAUCAGAUCCGGUUUAUGAGAAGCCUGGCCCAAUCAGAGCCGGUUUAUGAGAAGCCUGGCCCAAUCAGAGCCGGUUUAUGAGAAACCUGGCCCAGAGAACUUGCAGAAAGGUUAAUCAGGGGCAGUUUAUAAGAAGCUGAACAUCCACACACUCAGCCGACCCCAUCUGUUGGUCCAAAAUCUCAGAGGCUUGUGUCAAAGAGGAGACGUGGAGCUGUCCUGAAACCUUGUGAGAAGGCAGUGCCUAGCCAUGAAAAUGAGAAGAACGCUGAGCUCAAACAGGACGUCCCAGCAGAGACAGCUGAGACUCAGACUGAACAACAAACAGAGGUGCAGAGCAAAGAACAAGAACAGGACAUACAUGAGCACAUUGAGGCCUCCUCUCAGGAUGAUGACAGUGCUCAUGGACCUGAUGUUGCUCCCUCUGUAACUGAGCAAGAAGUUCCUGUGGUCCACUUGCACUGGAGAAGGAGAUCUAGGAGGACAAUAUCAGAGCUCUGUGGGACACUUGGUGUCAACCUGGACUUUUUUCAAACACAAAUGCCCCGGGCCUGCCUGAGGUGGAGGAGGACAAUGAAAUGGGCUGAGAGUCAUAGCAGCAGAGUGAAGACUUUAAGGCUGGAGAUCAUCAUCUAUACUGACCCUCAGGUCAACGAAAGUCAAAGACCCCACCUUCCAUCAUGAUGCCUAACAACUACAGACCAGCAGAAAAAUGCCAGCAAAAGAGAAAAAUAAAUAAAUUAAAGCAUUAUA